rnacentral:tRNA from 1 species
GGAAACGUACUCAAGUUGGCUGAUAAGGGUGUAGGUCGCGAGAGCGGCGCGAGGGUUCGAAUCCCUCCGUUUCCG